GGCCCAUUAGCUCGGUUGGUUAAAGCGUCGUUCUAACAACGCGAAGGUCGCGGGUUCGAUCCCCUCAAGGGCCA
rnacentral:tRNA from 1 species